UACGGGGGGAGCAAGCGUUGUUCGGAUUUACUGGGCGUAAAGGGACGCGUAGGCGGCGUGACAAGUCACUUGUGAAAUCUCCGGGCUUAACUCGGAACGGUCAAGUGAUACUGUCGUGCUAGAGUGCGGAAGGGGCAACUGGAAUUCUUGGCGUAGCGGUGAAAUGCGCAGAUAUCAGGAGGAACACCAGCGGCGAAGGCGGCGCUCUGGGCUGGCACUGACACUGAGGAGCGAAAGCGUGGGGAGCGAACAGG
rnacentral:rRNA from 1 species